CGACGCGGCCGCCCGGCUCCCUCCGCUCCCGCCGCGGCCGCAGCGCUGCCCUGCCCGCGCCCGGGGCGCACACACACGCUCGCGCCCGCCGGCCGGCGCGCACUCACGCACACACGCCCCCGAGGGCUCCGCCGCCGCCGCCGCGAGCGCUGGGAGGGGGCGGGGGGCGCGGGGGCGGGGCGCCGGGCGGGGCGCCGGCCAAUCACGUCGGCGAGCAGCCGCCCGCCCGCGAGCCAAGUUUUAACCCCGGGAAAGAAGAAAAGUUACAGGGGACCGGCCCGGGACGCGGGCGAGAGGGCGAGCGCGAGCGGGUGGGAGCCGGGGGAGCCCGAGAAAGAGCAGCGGAGACAAAGAGAAAGCCGGAGCGGCGCCCAGGGAAACCCCGGAGAGGGGGCAGGGCCGGGCGCGCACCCCGGAGGGGGAGGGGAACGCACGGGCUACUGUCAGCGUCUCCCGCGGCCCGUGCGGCCCGUGCGGCCCGGGAGCCCCGAGCCAGGGGAGCGCGCCGGCGGGGGAGGGGCGGCCCCAUCCCAGCCAAACACGUCUCGGUGUGCUUGGGUUUUUGGUUUUUUUUUUUGUUUUGUUUUGCUGAGGCGAGGUCGGGCCUUCCUCUGACCCGGUCUGACGGCCCGGUGGCACCGCGCACAACCCUAGGGGCACGCAGCUCCGUGGGCGUGAGGAAGGGGAGAAGGAUGUGACCUCUCCCUGCUCCUUCUUCCUGCCCAGGCCGCCUUCAGUCUGUUGAGGAGAAGCUGCUGGCCUGAAUCCCCAACCUCCAGACUUGUCACUGUGCCUUGGGCCUAUGUGUCUGGAACGAGGGUACUGUCGUGGGCAGUAGGUCGAAGGGUUCAGUGUGUACCUCCAUAUUAGCCCCGCCACUCAUAGAGGGCCAGCCCAGCUCUCCCAUAUGCCCCAAGGCAGGUUCAGUGAUACCUCCUUGCUUGCGUUUUGAAGGGUGCUGUGGAUUACGAGUAUCUAUCUCAUGGGAGCCCACAGUAACUUGGGAACAUAGUUAUUGAUUCCAUUUUACAGAUGAGGAUACUGAGGUUUCAGGAGGUUGAAGAAACUUGCCCAACAUCUCUCAGCUACUAGCCUGAUAGGGUGGAAUGUUGCCUGAGUCCCGGGUACUCUAGAGGCUAAGGCAAGAGGAGUCUAGUUCAAGGCCAGUUUGGGCAACAUAAUGAGACAUAGCGUGGCAGGACCUGGGCUCCUUUCUCUCCUUCACGUCUGUCAAGUGGCUGAUCCCACUCAGUGAUAGUCCGAUGGAGCAUCUCCUGGGGGCCACCAGACUUCUUUGGGCCUCAUUGUCACUUAACAAAAGGAUGGAGAUAGUGACAGUAUCCUUUGCAGCAGCCACCAAAAGGCCUUUAGGGGAAAGAACCUACUGUGCUGAGCCCUUGGGACCGAAUUUCUGUUGGUUUAUUUCUUAGAUGAAGGGUGUGACCCAGCAACAGACCUAGAGGGAAAGCACCAGGUCCUGGUUUUGGUCCAAGGACUAUCUUGCCCCAUUCAUGACCCCCAUUAAAUGCUUCUUUUUGUCUUACUGGCAGUUUUGCAAUCCUGAAAAUCUAAGUAGGGGCCCCAUGGCCCCUGUGGCUCAGCUCAGUUUCCUGGGAAGACUUUUCUACCCUUUCCCAGUCUCUGAGUACAGGCCACCCAAGCCAGUUCUUCCAGGAAGGGAGGCUCACCAUAGCCCCCGGAAAUAAAUCCAUUUCUUCCAAGGACAGCCUGGAUUCACCCUCUCCUGGGAGUAGCUCUUUAACUUUGCCUCUGUGUGCCAUUUACCACUCCGUUCUGUUUAUUUAUGCCUUGCCUUGUGGCAGGAAAGAUUUCAGGUGACUUACAAGGGUACUUAAAAUAUGACAAAAUAACAUAAAUUAGAAGUGAAGUGAAAGGAAAUAAAAGAAAUAUUUAACCGCUGAGGAUUGUAAAAUCCCAGUCAUAUAGUGAAAGGCACCCUGGGGUUCAGGAGGGUUUGCUAUGGAUACAGAGCACCUGGCUUCGAGUGUUGCUAUGUGACCCUAGCACUGGGGUCCUUGCUUGUAAGGGGACAAGGUUAUCUAUCUCAUAGGGUUUCCAGCAUCAAACGAAUUGACACGUAUGAAUAUUUUACUGCUUAUAAUGCAUGUCCAUAUUGUAGUUCUAUAAUACCUUUGGAUUUAUUUUGGCAUAUAUGGAUAUGGAAAUAUAAAGCCAGGCACAAGGUGGUGUUAGUAUUAAGUUGCUAGAGCUACACAGAAAUUUUAAAUUAUUUAAGGACCACUCAGUUAUUUAGAAAGACAUGAAAUUUAAAAAAGGAAAUCGAAGUACAUGUACAGUGGGAAGUCAUUUUUACCUUUAAAAACCCUGCAUUAAGUGACAACGUUGUAGCUGUAUGUCUCCGGAGACUAUGACUAGAGGUGAUUUAUUUUCCUUGUAUGCUGUUUUGUACAGUAAAAUAAGGACAGCUGAGACAAGAAAGAAAAAGCAAGAGAGAGAAAACAAAGUAGAGAUGGGAACAGUCCCGAAAUGUCCCCUGAACAGCCUCUUCACCUACUGUGGGUGGGCCACUGUUUGUUCCCAAGCUUUCCCUGCAACCAAAAUGAAAAAGAGACCAUGUCCAUUAUAAUUCCCACUGUCCACGAGAUAAAAACAGACCUGCUGCUCAAGAGAAUGACAACUAUUCUUGGCACCAAAAUCAGACAGGAAUUUCUCCUGGGGGGCCUCCUAAAGGGAACCCGGUGUGAGGUAAUGAGCAAACACCCCAGCAACAUCCCCCCAAGAGUCACAGCAGUGAGCAGCAGUGGGGCGGGGUCUGUGAUGGCCCUCAACCAAGCUGAUGGCACUGCACCAAAACAUGAGUCAGGAAAAGAUAUUCUGGCAAGGAGAGGUCUGAGGGAGACAAACUGGGGUGUUCAGCUCACUGCCCACCCAACACCGCCCAUCCACACUCUGGAAUAUCUGCAAGACUGUAUCAGGGAGAGCUGCACCAGCCUCCUUCCUCUGCAUCGCUCUGUCCACAGAGCUCUGGUGGAUCUUGCAGGGCAAGGAAAUUCAAGCUGUGGACUGUGGCUCAUCUCCACUGCUAGCCAGGCCUGGACAGUCAUCUUCAGAGAGGCAUAGGUGACACUCCUCACUUUUACUGUGGUCACUUAGGUCUAACUUUAUUGUCUUUAGGAUUUUCUGUUGUGGAGGACUGUCACACACCUUGCGAUUCAAGCAAUCUGCAAUCUUCUAAAAUAUAGUAGAGCAUCCAUCCACCUGUCGUUUUUACAGGUGGUUCACUUCCAGCUCUGCGCAGUAGCCCAGAACAAGCCCAUGAUUCUUCAAACUUUUGAAACCAGUUCUGUUUCUCUCUCUCCCCUCCUCCCUCUCGCUCUUUUACCUCUUCUAGGCAAAAAAGCUCCCCAUUAAUGGAUUUCAUAUAGCACAUGGUUUCUGACCGCCUAGCAGCCUCUCCAAGUGCCCUCUAAUUUGUCAGUGUCCCUUCCUAAAGCAUGCUCCCUUUUGAGGGGACAAACGAAAAAACAGAUGUCUAAGUGUUGCGAGAGCUUCUCAAAGUGGAGGUUAUAAAUACACACCCGAGAAGGCAUGUCAGGCUCCGAGCAGCGGGAUCCUGAGUACAAACUGGAGUUCAAAACAACAGUGUGGUUCUUGGGUGAGAAAGCAAAUUCCCAGGUGUCUGUGUCAGGAAUGUGUUGGGGUGGGGGGAGCCACCAUUCUUGGCACGCAGCUUUACCUGCAAAGCCCAAGAAUGGAGCACUCCAGGACAGGGAGAAUAUUGAGAAAACUUAGGAGCAGCCACAGGAGGAGGGGGACCUGGGAGACUUAGGUGUCCUAGAAACCAAUGGGCAACAACAGAGCUUGAGAAGGAGGGGCAGUGAACAGCGUCACAUGCCUUAAAGGUCAAGAUAAGAUCGGAAAUGCUUUGGAUUAACGACAAGGAAGUCCUUGAUGACCUUGACUGGCAGUUGCUGGGGAGCGGUGGGACCGAAGCCAGACUGCCUCGGGUUGUGCAGUGAAAAGGUGAGAACGUAGGCACUGCACCGGUGGACAACUUCAAAAGUGUGACUGCAGCGGUAGAGAAGAGAGGGCCCAGCAGGGAGGUGACACGGGAUUGAGGGAAGGCAGGGGCUUUUCAUUGUUGUUCCCCAGAUAAGGCUAUUUGAACAUGCCUAAAUGUUGAUAGGACGGAGCCAGCUGGAGGAAGGAGGAGAAGACAGAUAAAAGCACCCUUGUACAAUCAGCAAUCAGGUGGUUCAAAGUUUCUCAUGUUUGAAUGCAAUAGGAAGUGACACCCAUGCUGUGAGUGCAAGAGGGGCUAGGAGAGUCAGGGCUUGAGAAUGGACACGCUGGGUCUGGUUACUAGGGAGAGAGGACAAUGCCAGGAAGACUUAGAGGCCCUAUCGAGGUUGGUGACCAGCUUUCAAAGUCAUGGUACACACACACUCCUCCCAGCAGUCCUGUGUAGACCAGAGAAAAGACAGGUGGAUUAAUCUGGAUUUGAGGUGAGACAGAACUGGAGAGCAGAGAGGAGGAAGUAAAGAUAGGCAGGAGUAGCAGCGGAGACACAGGCCGGGGUCUGGACCACAUGUGGCUAAUUCAAUCCCAGUGUGAAUUAAGUCGAGUUAAUAACAUCUAAGGCCCGCUGCCCAGUCGGCCCUGGAUUGGACAGCACUGAUAAAGAGUAAGCUCAUCAUUAGAGGACGUUCUCCCAGACCAAUCUGGUUUGGUGGAUUUGGGAAUACAGAAGCGGACGUGUGACGGGGAUUACGGAGGGGGCUGUGCUGGAACUGGACGCCUGGGCAAAGCACUGCGGAGGAGCAGCAGCUCUGGGGCUGGACAGAGGACCUCUGAGGACCAAGGAGGGGCCUCUACUGCAAAGCAAGAGGAAGGAGGAGACAGAUACAGAGACAUAAUUUUCUGGAGGUCACAUCACCAAUAAGUAGAAAAGCAAGCACUUGAACCCAGAUGCUCUGAUGCAGAGUUUGGACCUCCCAGCAGCUACAGUUAAGCAGGGGUGACUUGGCUCAGGAGUCCAGAGCUGCCAAAGAGAAGUCUGCCAAAUCCUUUCAUCUACCAGGACUCUUUGAAGGGGUGAAAACGCCUGUGGAUAGCGGGAACCAGCAGAUGUAACAUACUUUCAUUUGCAAAAAGCUUUUGACAAGGUCCGACGAUAAAUGCUAUUAAAAUGAAGCAAACAGGUCAUGAUGAGGGCUGGAGGCUUUGUCAUGGAUGGAAGACCCAGCUUGAGGGAGACUACAAAGGAUACAAAUAAAAGGACAGCCUCUGAGUGGAAAAAUAACGGGGGGCCCUGUGGACCCUGAGUUGGGGUUCAGCUCAUUCAACAUUGACAUGAAGUCUGAAGGUUUCUCACCCCUUGGUGAGACCUCCAGCUUAAGUGAUGACUCCAGGAUGAAGCCAGGGAGAAGAGGAUGCUUUAAAGGGUCUCAAGAAGUCGUGUGACAGGUUUAGUAGGGGAUGUUUGUGCGCAUAAACAAUUUGAACUACUGUUACAGAAUGGCUAUCAAUUAAAUUGGAAAAAAUUA